rfam:Bacteriovorax sp. Seq25_V contig_54, whole genome shotgun sequence.
AAAAAGGCUCCUUUCGGAGCCUUUAGUAUAAUUAGAAACUAAUUA